rnacentral:lncRNA from 1 species
AGAACAACAGACAGUGGAAGGUUCUCCAGAGAACAACAGACAGAGGAAGGUUCUCCUCAGAACAACAGACAGAGGAAGGUUCUCCAGAGAACAACAGACAGAGGAAGGUUCUCCUCAGAACAACAGACAGAGGAAGGUUCUCCUCAGAACAACAGACAGAGGAAGGUUCUCCAGAGAACAACAGACAGAGGAAGGUUCUCCUCAGAACAACAGAGAGUGGAAGGUUCUCCAGAGAACAACAGACAGAGGAAGGUUCUCCUCAGAACAACAGUCAGAGGAAGGUUCUCCAGAGAACAACAGACAGAGGAAGGUUCUCCUCAGAACAACAGACAGAGGAAGGUUCUCCUCAGAACAACAGACAGUGGAAGGUUCUCCAGAGAACAACAGACAGAGGAAGGUUCUCCUCAGAACAACAGACAGAGGAAGGUUCUCCUCAGAACAACAGUCAGAGGAAGGUUCUCCAGAGAACAACAGUCAGAGGAAGGUUCUCCAGAGAACAACAGUCAGAGGAAGGUUCUCCUCAGAACAACAGACAGAGGAAGGUUCUCCUCAGAACAACAGACAGAGGAAGGUUCUCCUCAGAACAACAGACAGAGGAAGGUUCUCAUCAGAACAACAGACAGAGGAAGGUUCUCCUCAGGACAACAGACAGAGGAAGGUUCUCCAGAGAACAACAGACAGAGGAAGGUUCUCAUCAGAACAACAGACAGAGGAAGGUUCUCCUCAGAACAACAGACAGAGGAAGGUUCUCCUCAGAACAACAGACACAGGAAGUGGUUUGAUUUUAAUUAAGGAAAGACACUAUCUGCAUCUCUUACUUUCUCUCUCUUUUUUUUUAAUAGAAAUCAUUUUUUGCACAAUAUGAAAAAAUGUUCCUCACAUCUAAGACGAACUAACAUGGUAAAGGAAGUAAAGAAAGGAAGGAGAAGCAUUCAGCAUGGUGGUGUAUAAAUGAGUCUGAUCAGUAAAGACAGACUUCAUCACAGUAGGCAAUGGGAUGGAGACUGGUCCAGGGUCCUUUGUCUUGGGAAUGUCCACGGUAUUUAGCUGUGGGGGAAAUGAGGGAUUGAUAUGAGUUUCAUUUGUUGUUUUGUGAAGUUAUAA